AGUGGCGCACGGGUGAGUAAUGUAUAGCUAACAUGCCCUUUAGAGGGGGAUAACAGUUGGAAACGACUGCUAAUACCCCAUACUCCUUCUCAUUAUAAGAUGAGUCGGGAAAGUUUUUUCGCUAAAGGAUUGGGCUAUAUGGUAUCAGCUUGUUGGUGAGGUAACGGCUCACCAAGGCUAUGACGCCUAACUGGUCUGAGAGGAUGAUCAGUCACACUGGAACUGAGACACGGUCCAGACUCCUACGGGAGGCAGCAGUGGGGAAUAUUACACAAUGGAGGAAACUCUGAUGUAGCAACGCCGCGUGGAGGAUGACACAUUUCGGUGCGUAAACUCCUUUUAUAUGGGAAGAUAAUGACGGUACCAUAUGAAUAAGCACCGGCUAACUCCGUGCCAGCAGCCGCGGUAAUACGGAGGGUGCAAGCGUUACUCGGAAUCACUGGGCGUAAAGCGCAUGUAGGCGGUCUUGUAAGUUGGGUGUGAAAGCCUAUGGCUCAACCAUAGAACUGCACCCAAAACUACUAGACUAGAGUCUGGGAGAGGAAAAUGGAAUUAGUUGUGUAGGGGUAAAAUCCGUAGAGAUAACUAGGAAUACCAAAAGCGAAGGCAAUUUUCUGGAACAGUACUGACGCUCAGAUGCGAAAGCGUGGGUAGCAAACAGGAUUAGAUACCCCGGUAGUCCACGCCCUAAACGAUGAAUGUUAGUCGUCGGGAGGCUCGUCCUUUCGGUGAUGCAGCUAACGCAUUAAACAUUCCGCCUGGGGAGUACGGUCGCAAGAUUAAAACUCAAAGGAAUAGACGGGGACCCGCACAAGUGGUGGAGCAUGUGGUUUAAUUCGAAGAUACGCGAAGAACCUUACCUAGCCUUGACAUUGAUAGAAUCCGAUGGAAACAUUGGAGUGCCAGUUUACUGGAGCUUGAAAACAGGUGCUGCACGGCUGUCGUCAGCUCGUGUCGUGAGGUGUUGGGUUAAGUCCCGCAACGAGCGCAACCCUCGUCCUUAGUUACUAACGGUUCGGCCGAGGACUCUAAGGAGACUGCCUUCGUAAGGAGGAGGAAGGUGAGGACGACGUCAAGUCAUCAUGGCCCUUACGGCUAGGGCGACACACGUGCUACAAUGGAUAGGACAAUGAGACGCAAUACCGCGAGGUGGAGCAAAUCUAUAAACCUAUUCU
rnacentral:rRNA from 1 species